AAGAGUCUGGUGAUCAAGCAGCUAGGUGGCGUAGGAAUGAUUCUUGUUGAUGAGAUUGCCAAGGAUAUCGCAGAGUCUUACUUCCUGCCAGCAACUAAUGUUGGUGCAAAAGAAGGUGCUGUGAUUGCUACUUACCUCAACCAGACAAGGUAUAGCUCUGCCGGUCAAAAAACUUCAUCUGACGAUCCGGCUGUCCGCAUAGUUCUCCAGUUGCAACGAUCCUCCCCACAAAAACCGUGCGAAACUUUAAGCCAGCGCCUGCUGUUGCAGUCUUCUCAUCCAGAGGACCAAAUUCUGUGACACCAGAAAUCCUUAAGGUGAGGUUUAUAGCUAUGAUUAAGCUUUCUUACUGUAUGGUUUAACAGCCGGAUAUUACCGCUCCUGGAGUCAGCAUUCUAGCAGCAUGGUCACCAGUCGCGACUAAAGCUGUCGGAGGGC
rnacentral:lncRNA from 1 species